CCAGACUCCUACGGGAGGCAGCAGUGAGGAAUAUUGGUCAAUGGCCGCAGGGCUGAACCAGCCAAGUCGCGUGAGGGAUGGCGGUCCUAUGGAUUGUAAACCUCUUUUGUCAGGGAGCAAAGGGCGCCACGUGUGGCGUUUUGCGAGUACCUGAAGAAAAAGCAUCGGCUAACUCCGUGCCAGCAGCCGCGGUAAUACGGAGGAUGCGAGCGUUAUCCGGAUUUAUUGGGUUUAAAGGGUGCGUAGGCGGGCAUUUAAGCCGGCGGUCAAAUGUCGGGGCUCAACCCCGGCGAGCCGUUGAAACUGGCUGUCUUGAGAUGUCGAGAGGUAUGCGGAAUGCGCAGUGUAGCGGUGAAAUGCUUAGAUAUUGCGCAGAACUCCGAUUGCGAAGGCAGCAUACCGGCGGCGAUCUGACGCUGAGGCACGAAAGCGUGGGUAUCGAACAGGAUUAGAUACCCCAGUAGC
rnacentral:rRNA from 1 species